GACGAACGCUGGCGGCGUGCUUAACACAUGCAAGUCGAACGGUGAAGCGCCUUCCUUUUUGGUGGGUGUGGAUGAGUGGCGAACGGGUGAGUAACACGUGAGUAACCUGCCCCCUUCUUCUGGAUAACCGCAUGAAAGUGUGGCUAAUACGGGAUAUUCUGGGUCUGUCGCAUGAUGGGUCUGGGAAAGAUAUUGUUUCGGUGGGGGAUGGGCUCGCGGCCUAUCAGCUUGUUGGUGGGGUGAUGGCCUACCCAGGCGGUGACGGGUAGCCGGCCUGGGAGGGUGGACGGUCACACUGGGACUGAGGCACGGCCCAGACUGGUACGGGACGCAGCAGUGGGGAAUAGUGGACGAUGGGCGCAAGCCUGAUGCAGCGACGCCGCGUGAGGGAUGGAGGCCUUCGGGUUGUGAACCUCUUUCGCCAGUGAAGCAGGGCUGCCUCGUUUGUGGGUGGGUUGACGGUAGCUGGAGAAGAAGCGCCGGCUAACUACGUG
rnacentral:rRNA from 1 species